AUUGAACGCUGGCGGCAGGCCUAACACAUGCAAGUCGAACGAGUGGCGGACGGGUGUGUAAUGUCUGGGAACCUGCCUGAUGGAGGGGGAUAACUACUGGAAACGGUAGCUAAUACCGCAUACCUUCGGAUGUUACCAGAAGGGAUUAGCUAGUAGGUGGGGUAAAGGCUAACCAAGGACACGAUCCACAGCUGGUCUGAGAGGAGGACCAGCCACACUGGAACUGAGACACGGUCCAGACUCCUACGGGAGGCAGCAGUGGGGAAUAUUGCACAAUGGGCGCAAGCCUGAUGCAGCCAUGCCGCGUGUAUGAAGAAGGCCUUCGGGUUGUAAAGUACUUUCAGCGGGGAGGCGUUACCCGCAGAAGAAGCACCGGCUAACUCCGUGCCAGCAGCCGCGGUAAUUC
rnacentral:rRNA from 1 species